rnacentral:snoRNA from 1 species
ACUCUCCCGAUUCCUUACCCCUUGAAGCUAAAUAUUGACCUUAGUGGCUAAAUAAAAAGGAGGAAUAGGAAAAUGGAAACCGAUUUUGAGUCUUCAAUGACAUAUAAGUUCAUUUCAAACAUAG